CUGGGGUUCCUUUAAAUUACAAAACACAGUCUCAUUUCAACAAUUAGUCCCAUUUGUCCAAGUUUCUAACUUCCGUUGAAACUGCAAGCUACUCCCUCCUCCUCCGAUCCUGCUCCGUGAGGCCCGGUGACUCCUGGGAAGUUGUGCUCCACAAUCCCACAGUAUUUUGGGUGGCCCGUAUGGGGACAACGGGGUGACUCCAAGAGCAUCAGUGCAACUUGAUACAAGCAAGCAAUUCCUGACUCCUUCACCCAGCUGACAGCUUACUACUGCCCAGAUGUUCACUGUGGACUCUACAGCAGUGGCCUUCUGUAAUCUACUUGUAGAAACAGAUAGUGACCAAUUUCAGUCUAUAGGGACAUCUCUACAACCAUCUUUUUCUGUCAGCUUGAAGAAGUUCAGAAGAUGAGCCCUUCACCCUUCAACAACCUUAAAGAUUUAAGGACCAAAAUUGUUAAGGGGAGAAAUGAGGGAUAGAAGCAGAAAAAUGUUCACCUUUAGGCCAGUAGGCUCACCUACAGCCUGCAUAGUUUUGAUAAGGAUCAAAUACAUGCUGGUUGCUACAUUCUUAAAGGGUUUCAUGACUGCCUGUACAUCUCACCAUUAGUUAAUAUUGAGCUGAAUGAUAAGUACCAGAGAAAUCUUGGGAAAGUAGUUUUAGGAGUAGAAAUUUAAAGAAAACAUUUAUUAAAAAAAAAUUUUUUUUAAUCUUUAUUUUUGAGACACACACACACAC